rnacentral:rRNA from 1 species
UACGAAGGGGCGAGCGUUGUUCGGAUUUACUGGGCGUAAAGGGCGCGCAGGCGGUCUUGAAAGUCAGGCGUGAAAGCCCCGGGCUUAACCUGGGAAUUGCGCUUGAUACUCUGAGACUGGAGUACGGGAGAGGAGAGUGGGAUUCCCAGUGUAGAGGUGAAAUUCGUAGAUAUUGGGAAGAACACCAGUGGCGAAGGCGGCUCUCUGGACCGUAACUGACGCUGAGGCGCGAAAGCGUGGGGAGCAAACAGG